AUUUCCGUAGUGUAGUGGUUAUCACGUUUGCUUUACAUGCAAAAGGUCCCCUGUUCGAAACUGGGCGGAAACA
rfam:Danio rerio chromosome 17, GRCz11 reference primary assembly.